rnacentral:rRNA from 1 species
UACGAAGGGGGCUAGCGUUGUUCGGAAUUACUGGGCGUAAAGGGCGCGUAGGCGGUACUUCAAGUCAGGCGUGAAAGCCCCGGGCUCAACCUGGGAACCGCGCUUGAGACUGGAGAACUAGAGUUCGGGAGAGGAUGGUGGAAUUCCCAGUGUAGAGGUGAAAUUCGUAGAUAUUGGGAAGAACACCGGUGGCGAAGGCGGCUCACUGGCUCGUUUCUGACGCUCAUGCACGACAGCGUGGGGAUCAAACAGG